AAUUUAGCGAGUUUUUCCAAACCAUAAAAAUCGCAAAAUUCAAUCCUCACGAAAAAUAUGGUGCAUACGGUAUUACUUUAAUUGUGUAUGUUAAUAGUUAUUGAUGUUGAGGCCCAGCCUUCUUGGAGAGCAUGUACAGCUACAAACUAUUGAAUAUCAUUCAUGAUUUUAUGCUACCUUGAGCUAUAGUUAUUUAUUACAUUAACAAUCUCUUUGUUCUAGAUAUCCCCACUACUGAAUGAUGAUGGUGCCAAACAUUUGUUUAUUUCCAUACUCGAGUUAAAAUUCCAAUACUUUCAAAGUAGGGAACAUUUUAGUGUUGAAGUCAAUCUUUUGGGGCAAAUGCUGUAAUGCAUUAGUCAGGUAACUGCUCUUGUUGGCCUGAAUGUUACAUUUGUCUCAGCGUUCAGUGGAACUACCAAUACCAUUGAAUGUAUUUCAUGUAGAUGCAACCAACACACUCUCAUAUUACUUUCAAGACCAAAAUUUUGAUAUUUACAUUUGAAUUAUAACAUGCAAUUCUACCUAAUUUUUGAUUUCAGUAUGUAAAAAUUUUAUCUGAAUACAUUUA